rnacentral:miRNA from 2 species
AUCUCCCUCAAAGGCUUCCUCU